GACGAAUGCUGGCGGCGUGCUUAACACAUGCAAGUCGAACGGAAAGGCCCUGCUUUUGUGGGGUGCUCGAGUGGCGAACGGGUGAGUAACACGUGAGUAACCUGCCCUUGACUUUGGGAUAACUUCAGGAAACUGGGGCUAAUACCGGAUAGGAGCUCCUGCUGCAUGGUGGGGGUUGGAAAGUUUCGGCGGUUGGGGUUGGACUCGCGGCUUAUCAGCUUGUUGGUGGGGUAGUGGCUUACCAAGGCUUUGACGGGUAGCCGGCCUGAGAGGGUGACCGGCCACAUUGGGACUGAGAUACGGCCCAGACUCCUACGGGAGGCAGCAGUGGGGAAUAUUGCACAAUGGGCGGAAGCCUGAUGCAGCAACGCCGCGUGCGGGAUGACGGCCUUCGGGUUGUAAACCGCUUUCGCCUGUGACGAAGCGUGAGUGACGGUAAUGGGUAAAGAAGCACCGGCUAACUACGUG
rnacentral:rRNA from 1 species